rnacentral:rRNA from 1 species
AUUGAACGCUGGCGGCAGGCCUAACACAUGCAAGUCGAACGAGUGGCAGACGGGUGAGUAAUGUCUGGGAAACUGCCUGAUGGAGGGGGAUAACUACUGGAAACGGUAGCUAAUACCGCAUACCAUCAGAUGUGCCCAGAUGUGAUUAGCUUGGUGGUGGGGUAACGGCUCACAAAGGCGACGAGCCCUAGCUGGUUUGAGAGGAUGAGCGGCCAAACUGGAACUGAGACACGGUCCAGAAUGCUACGGGAGGCAGCAGUGGGGGAUAUUGCACAAUGGGCGCAAGCCUGAUGCGGCCAUGCCGCGUGUAUGAAGAAGGCCUUCGGGUUGUAAAGUACUUUCAGCGGGGAGGCGUUACCCGCAGAAGAAGCGCCGGCUAACUCCGUGCCAGCCGCCGCGGUAAUAC